rnacentral:rRNA from 1 species
UACGUAGGGUGCGAGCGUUAAUCGGAAUUACUGGGCGUAAAGCGUGCGCAGGCGGUCCGCAAAGUCUGAUGUGAAAGCCCCGGGCUCAACCUGGGAACUGCAUUGGAAACUAACGGGCUCGAGUGUGGCAGAGGGGGGUGGAAUUCCACGUGUAGCAGUGAAAUGCGUAGAGAUGUGGAGGAACACCGAUGGCGAAGGCAGCCCCCUGGGCUAACACUGACGCUCAGGCACGAAAGCGUGGGGAGCGAACAGG